AAUCAGUUCAGCUUCGGAUUGGAUGUUUGCAAGGAUGUUGCACAGUUAGGAGUGGGGCUAUGUAGAAUAAGUAGUUAUUUUCAGAAUGUAGAUACCUAGUGUAUAGUAUAAACAGGGGUAGAUGAUUACUGAAAAGGUGGUUCAGCAAGUAGAAUAGAUGAAUAGUCAAGAAAAGUAGUUAUCAUCUAUAGUAUAGGAGUUGGUAUCUUGGGGUAGUAUAAGGAGGAUGAGAGAGAGAAAGAAAAUGCCAUUAUUGUGAUAGUUAUGAAUUGGUGUAAGCUUGGUGCUACCUCUUUUCUUUUGUUUGUUAUUUUUUUUUGAAUAAGAAGAUUGAGAGUUUCUAAAUAUUGUGAAGUGAAUCAUAGAAUGGAAGUGUGAUUGAAAUUAUCUGUUAUUAAAUGAGAAGAAGAAAGAUUGAAUGUUAAAAUUUGAUUGUAGUUUAAUAGAGAAUGAGUUUGUGGUUGUGUGAAACACUAUAAUGCGAAUAGUAGUUCUGUGUGAAGAAUUCUAGUGAUUGGAAUGAGUACAAUUGUGUACUAAAACUUGUGAUGGUGUAGUAUUACAGUUGGAGAUUAUGAAAGUCAAUAUAUAUUUGUAAAAAUAGUAGUUAUUGGUAUGACUGAAUUAUUGUAAGGA
rnacentral:lncRNA from 1 species